rnacentral:rRNA from 1 species
UACGUAGGUGGCAAGCGUUGUUCGGAAUUAUUGGGCGUAAAGGGCGCGUAGGCGGGAUGGCAAGUCGGUCGUGAAAUCCUUCGGCUCAACCGAAGAACGUCGAUCGAUACUGCUGUUCUUGAGGGUUGCAGAGGAGACUGGAAUUCCCGGUGUAGCGGUGAAAUGUGUAGAGAUCGGGAGGAACACCGGUGGCGAAGGCGGGUCUCUGGGCAAUUCCUGACGCUGAGGCGCGAAAGCGUGGGGAGCGAACAGG